rnacentral:misc_RNA from 1 species
UACGUAGGGCGCAAGCGUUAUCCGGAUUUAUUGGGCGUAAAGGGCUCGUAGGCGGUUCGUCGCGUCCGGUGUGAAAUCCCAUCGCUUAACGCUGGAUCCGCGCCGGGUACGGGGGGGCUUGAGUGCGGUAGGGGAGACUGGAAUUCCCGGUGUAACGGUGGAAUGUGUAGAUAUCGGGAAGAAGACCAAUGGCGAAGGCAGGUCUCUGGGCCGUUACUGACGCUGAGGAGCGAAAGCGUGGGGAGCGAACAGG